rnacentral:rRNA from 1 species
GAUGAACGCUAGCGGCAGGCCUAAUACAUGCAAGUCGAACGGGAUCCAGAUCAAAGCUUGCUUUGGUCUGGUGAGAGUGGCGCACGGGUGCGUAACGCGUGAGCAACCUACCCUUGUCAGGGGGAUAGCCCGGCGAAAGUCGGAUUAAUACCGCAUGACAUCAUUGAGAGGCAUCUUUCGAUGAUCAAAGAUUUAUCGGACAAGGAUGGGCUCGCGUGACAUUAGCUAGUUGGUAAGGUAACGGCUUACCAAGGCUGCGAUGUCUAGGGGCUCUGAGAGGAGAAUCCCCCACACUGGUACUGAGACACGGACCAGACUCCUACGGGAGGCAGCAGUAAGGAAUAUUGGUCAAUGGACGGAAGUCUGAACCAGCCAUGCCGCGUGCAGGAGGACGGCCCUAUGAGUGGUAAACUGCUUUUAUACGGGAACAAACGUCGGUACGUGUACCGGUCUGAGUGUACCGUAAGAAUAAGGAUCGGCUAACUCCGUG